UGUUGCAUGAUUUUUUGUUUGUUUCGAGAGAAGAGUUAUAAUUUUUUUUUUUUUUUGUAUAAAGAGGUCACAUUAGGUUAUGAUGAGAUGAUAUGUUCAGAUCAGAUGAUUUGGACCCAAAUCCAGACCCUGGUUUUGUGGAGUGACAGCCAUAUAUUCCAGGGAUCUUUGCUUCUGGAGAAACAUCAUCCUUUAUUCCAGGACUUGUAGGAAACACUUCUCACUAUGGAGAUACAAUGUAUAACAUUGUUAUUUUUAUGGUUACAUGAAAGCCAUGUUUUUGACUUUGUGAUGCUUGUAAAACUUUAAUUACUGACAACUUUAAUUUGAUUCUCAUUUACAGUGUAAACUGUAAUUGACAUCAGAUUGGUUUCAUUUUGCUAAAAGCAGAAGUAACUGACUUCAUGAGUUUUGGUAGAAAUAUGAUUAAUGUUUCACAAGGAAUAGGUUCUAAUGAGAGUGUGUCAGGUGUAAUAUAUAUAUUAAUCAAGACUAAUUGGCAGGUCUGGGCCUUUCCUGUGUGAAGGGGGUGGGGGGGACUUGGUUUGUCCUCCCAAAUUAUUUUUGGAUUCAGAAAUUUAGGUGCCACAAGAAGUAGAAAUGCUUUGGAGAGUUUUGGAUGGCAUUUGAUAUUGAAGGAUCAGGUAAAGGGUGUUGUUUCCAAACCACCUUUUCCCUUCACCCCUGGUGAUGUUAUUGGUGGUCUGAGAUGACCUGUGAGUGUGGUCAUCCCCGCAACAGGAUGGAGAGUUGAGUGGUCAUUGUAGACCCACGUGCAGUUGUCUGUUGAAAGUUCAUUUAUGUUGUAACGUUGGAACCAGAUAUUUCGUUGAAGCGGGGUGGUUUUGGCCUCAUCUUCAAGCUUUCAGGGGCAGUUUGAACUCCCUUCACUUCUGGCCUGUUGGAUAGCCAUCUUUUAAAAGUUGUAUGGUUUUGUUACAGGUUUCAGAGUUUAUUUCUACCUGUGAUAUUUGAAAAAAAUAUUUUUAAAAAUGAGGGACAUUCUAACCAGUCAGUAAUACCACACAGAGCAUAAUUCAAGGUGACAUCUGAUGGCAUGGGAGUUCUAAAGAGCAUUUAGAACUUUGGGGUCCACAGUUGUAUUUGGUGAUGAAGAGAGCAUUGGAUUUAGAAUUAAGAGACUUGAGGGGCACCUGGGUCGGUUCAGUGGGUUGAGUGUCUCACUCUGGAUCUCAGCUUGGGUCUUGAUUUCAGGGUCGUGAGUUCAAGCCCCACAUUGGGCUCCGUGGUGGACGUGAAGCCUGCUUAGGGUAAAAAAGACUUGAUUUUGUUCAGCUCUAUCCUAAACUGCAUGAUAUGGAACAAAUUAUGUGACCUUUUGGGGUCUCAGUUUCAUCAUAUAAAAUGAGAUUUCAACUUAAAAAUUUUAUUUAAAUGUUUAUUUGGAGAGAGAGAUUUAGAGAGUGAGCGGGGAAGGGACAGAGAGAGAGAAUCCCAAGCAGGCUCUGUGCUAACAGCUGAGCUCGAACUCACGAGCCAUGAGAUUGUGACCUGAGCCAAAAUCAAGAGUCCAACCGCUUUACUGACUGAGCCACCCAGAUGCCCCGAGAUUUCAACUUUAUUCUAACAUCUUUGAGUCUCCAUUUGGCUACCUACUUAUUCUAAAUUAUGUUGGGUACUUAUGCUUUGUGUUAUUAAAUCUCAAUGCUGACAUUCAGAAAUUUGUGUUAAAACACAGCUCUUAUGUUUAAUUUAUGCUAAGCAUUAAUUCUGUGUAUUGAUUAUGAUAUAUUUUUUUUCUUCCUCUGGAGCCCUUUCAGCUUUUGAAAACUGUUGAGUGGUAUAUGGAGCUGCUUUGGAAGCCUGGCCUAUGUAGUAGAAGAAUAUUUGAGUCUUUAUAUUUAAAAGAAUUUAACUUUAAUGAAUGUCUUUGUGAUGUUUUAACAGGAAAAUAGUUUUUAAAUAGUUUCAGUAGGUUUGGGGCAUAAUAUGUGCAAAAUCAAAGUGAUCUUAACAUUAUCUUGCAGACAUUUAGAGUUCACUGGCAAAUCAAACACUUCGGAAACGGUUUUAAGUUCAAGCAGGAUUUGCAAAAACUUUUGUUUCUUAUGUGGUACACAAAUGAAUCCCAGAUACAUUAUUUAGGCCACUUUGGGUAAAAGAAUGGAAUUUUGGGCUCUAAGGGUUCCACAGUGCUCUUCAAGCAAAUUAAAUUUUAUUCCAAUGUUAACCAGUUAGUUGAAAUAGCAAAUGCCUAAACUUUUUUGGGUAUUUAGGCCUUGAAACACUCUCAGACCUCCUUGUGUUUUUAUAUCUUUUGAAGCGUGACUGCGUGUUGCAAAGAGAAAAAUUCUAAUUCCAAGUAGAGAGAAGGGAAGAGGCCUUCCUUGAUAGCAUAUGGAAAUGGAGGCUAUUUUUAAAGUUGUAGCACAUGGAAAGUAAGGCCGACUUGGGGUUUGGCGUCCAGAUGAUGCGACUUGGAGAGAAACAGUUGUAGUAAUAACUGUUAAUAACUGUAAUUGAUCAAUAACAGGUGGUCUAAUUGAUUUGAAAUAGUUCUGUUUCUCUUAAAGGUUAAGAAGGCUGUUAAGAGAGUUCCCUUUAUUGGUUUAUGGCAGCAGAGAACCUCGCUUAUGUAAGGCAGGCAACACUUUGGUUUUUAACGACGAAACCGGGAUAAGCUGGCAUAAGUCAUCAGUGUUUAGCCCUGAGCUGCUUCUGAGUUUUCCUCGGGCUCAGCCUCAGAUUUAUGAAGGACGGCUCCGUCACCGUCUGCUUCGGUGUUCACUGCCUCUAGCUUCAGCUCCAGGAGCAUUGGUGAAGACGGCCGGUUGUCUUUGUCAGGGUCGUGGAGCUUCUCGUGGUCGGAUGAUUUAGGGAUGGACACUGGCAAGUUGAACUGUGUACAACCACGGAGGGAGAUCAGGAGACCAAACUAAAGACUACUAUUUGAAAGAACCGAGAAGGGGAAAUAGAUAGUCUUUAUGGUUCAGAGCGCGCAUUACAUUCUCUUGCACAGGAGCAGCCAGUUGCCUCUGGAUAGCUUAUGAUUUUAUCCCCACCCCCUUGCACGACAGCCAUUCCCCAAGGCGCUCUGAUCCUAGUCCACACCAUCUUAGUAAGUGACAUCAUUGACCGGGUAGGGUGUUCGCUGAAUUUUACCCUGCCUCCUUUGUUCAGCCAGUUUCACGUUUUUAUUUCUGCCAUGUAUUUACAAUACCACACUUCAUGACAUUGAGGGUUUUUUUAUUAGUUUUUAAAAACAAGAUGCUUUCAGAUGUAAGUGGUUUAAACCCUAGCUUAAAUUGGUUCAAUAGAAAGCAUUUUAUUCAGUAAGUUAACUGAAAAGUCCAAAAGUAGUUUCACUGUAUGACAAGGACCCAGUUUCUCUUUGGUUCUCAGUGCUGUGACCUCAGAACCAUUCUUGGCUGUCUCUUUCUCUUGUGAUCAAAAGAUGGCUCCACAUGCUCCCAUAGUGAUUUCCUUCUGGCUUUAACCAGCAGAGAUGUUAAAAGUCCACUUUUCCAAUAGUUCUUUGCUGGAGUAGAAGUCCUGGAGUUGAAUCCUCUUGUUGGGUUGGCCUGAUUUGGGUCAUGUAUCCAUCUCUGAACCAGCCACUGUGGUAAGGUUGAUGGGAUGUGCGGGUUGGGCAGUCAGGAUCCAUCUUGGCAUCUAGUAAUGGUGUUAGUCCUACCCAGCAUACAGGACUGGGACAUUCUGAGGGAACAGAAAAAUGGAUGCUGGGAAGGCAACCAACAACCAACUAGAUGAUACCAUUAAAAAAAUGUAUAAUUCUGGCUUUGUGUAUGCUGAACAGGAGGAUGAGAAAGCUACCAUUUAAUGAACUUCUGAAAAAUAAGUAUGCCUUCUUUGUGUGAAGCAAAAGAUGUAUUUCUGUAAAGGUGCCAAAUAUUUUUGCUAAGAGUUAGGAAUGGUAGCUUUAUAUGUAAACUUACCCCAACAAAUGUUAUUGUUGAUUUAUGUUACAGAAUGUUUCUGGAUUGUUGUGUUAUUUGGGACUAUUUCAAGUACUAAGACUUAAACAAAAUUCAGGUACAGAUUCUAGAAAUUCUUAUGUCAUUUCCCUAGAGAUGAUAGGGUAUUUUUUGAGAGGGGAAAAAUGCAUGUUAAUUAUUUGUUCAUUGAAUUCAGGAUGAAUAGAAAGAAAAAAAAUUGUUCUUUAUGCAAGAAUAUAAUUUUUUAUAAGGCGAUUACCAACCCUUCUUUAUAAUAAAGUCUUUAAAAUAAUAUCCAUUGUGAUACUUGGAGCCCUGCAUUUUCUUUGCCAUUUUCCUAAAAAACAGGGAGGGGGGCUUAUAAACAGGCUUAAAAAAUGGGGGGGGGGCACUCAUGGCUGAGCUUUGAACCCAUGUUCCAAGGAAUGGUUGGCGCUCUCAUCUGCAAGUUCUUUCCUCUGUGGAGCCAGCCAGGUGGGGUGGUUAGGAGCUGGGCUGGAGCCAGCCUGUGCCUUCAGAUGAGUGACCUCAUCUCUAAGUUUUCUCAGCUUAAAAAAAAAAAAAAAAAAAAAAGACGGUGGGAAA